GCUCCUCGUAUCAAGCCUUUGGAUAAUAAUCAUCAGUUGAGCAUAGACGAUCUAGAUUCAAUCAAAGUGAUCGGGAAAGGUAAUAGCGGGACCGUGCAAUUGGUGCGCCACAAAUGGACUGGCCAGUUUUUUGCUCUCAAGGUUAUACAGCUCAAUAUUCAGGAGAGCAUACGCAAGCAGAUGGCCCAGGAGUUGAAAAUAAGCUUGUUUACACAGUGCCAGUAUGUUGUCACGUGCUAUCAGUGUUUCUAUGUCAAUGGUGUUAUUUCUAUUGCUUUGGAGUACAUGGAUGGUGGCUCUCUCGCUGAUUUCCUCAAGGCUGUUAGAACCGUUCCAGAGGCCUACCUGGCUGCAAUUUGUAAGCAGGUGUUGAAAGGACUGAUGUACUUGCAUCAUGAGAAGCGCGUUAUACACCGAGAUCUGAAACCAUCGAAUAUAUUGAUAAAUCAUAGGGGUGAAGUAAAGAUAUCAGAUUUUGGUGUUAGUGCCAUCAUUUCUAGUUCUUCUGCACAGCGAGAUACAUUUACUGGCACAUUUAACUACAUGGCGCCUGAAAGAAUCAGUGGGCAGAAACAUGGUCAUCUGAGUGAUAUCUGGAGCUUGGGCCUAGUUAUGCUGGAAUGUGCCACUGGCAAUUUCCCAUAUCCUCCUCGUGAAAGCUUUUAUGAACUUCUUGAAGCUGUUGUCGACCAACCAUCACCUUCUGCACCAUCAGACCAGUUUUCACCAGAGUUCUGUUCAUUCAUUUCUGCUUGUAUCCAAAAAAAUGCUGCAGAUAGGUCAUCUGCCCAAACCCUAUCAGCUCAUCCAUUCCUGAGCAUGUACGACGACCUGAAUAUCGAUCUGUCUGACUACUUCACGACUGCAGGAUCACCGCUUGCCACCUUCAAGUAA
rnacentral:rRNA from 1 species